rnacentral:misc_RNA from 1 species
UAAAGGUAGCUUUAUGAUGGAUCAAGAAAUGAACUAUGGUGUGCAUGAGGAUGUUGACAAUGAUGGGUUUGGGUUGAUGGGGAAGGAUGAAGGGGACUUGCAGCUUUUUGUUUUGCAGCAGGUGCAGGAGUUGAGAACUGAAAUUGGGUUGUUGGAAGGGAGAUUAAGAAAAAUCCCAAGUGAAUUUUUGGGUUUGGUGUCGCAGGAGUUGUUUCAUGUUGUUAAUAAAGUUAGGAGUAUAGGGGAAGACAGUUCAAAGACAAUUGGGCUGCUUUCACACAAGCCUCAUGCAGAUGAUGUGCUAGUUGGUGAUAACGAUUUGCCACACUGGAGUGAUCAUCAUCACGAAAGGAUAUAUGGGAAUGGCAAGGAAACAGAGUUGAUUGAUGAUGAUGAAGAUAGUUUUGGACAGACUCUUGGGGAUGUCGUUCCUUGGGACCAAAUGAG